GGAUAACCCGGAGAAAUCCGGCCUAAUACCGCAUGUGGCCGAGGGGAGGCAUCUUCUUUCGGCCAAAGGAGGCAACUCCGGAGACGGAUGGGCAUGCGUGACAUUAGCUUGUUGGCGGGGUAACGGCCCACCAAGGCGACGAUGUCUAGGGGUUCUGAGAGGAAGGUCCCCCACACUGGUACUGAGACACGGACCAGACUCCUACGGGAGGCAGCAGUGAGGAAUAUUGGUCAAUGGGCGAGAGCCUGAACCAGCCAAGUCGCGUGAAGGAUGACGGCCCUACGGGUUGUAAACUUCUUUUGUCAGGGAGCAAUUGAGUCCACGUGUGGGCUUAGCGAGAGUACCUGAAGAAAAAGCAUCGGCUAACUCCGCGCCAGCAGCCGCGGUAAUACGGAGGAUGCGAGCGUUAUCCGGAUUUAUUGGGUUUAAAGGGUGCGUAGGCGGAAUAUCAAGUCAGCGGUAAAAAUUCGGGGCUCAACCCCGUCGUGCCGUUGAAACUGAUGUUCUUGAGUGGGCGAGAAGUAUGCGGAAUGCGUGGUGUAGCGGUGAAAUGCAUAGAUAUCACGCAGAACUCCGAUUGCGAAGGCAGCAUACCGGCGCCCAACUGACGCUGAAGCACGAAAGCGUGGGUAUCGAACAGGAUUAGAUACCCUGGUAGUCCACGCAGUAAACG
rnacentral:rRNA from 1 species